rnacentral:tRNA from 1 species
GGGGGUGUGGCUCAGCUGGGAGAGCGCUUGCUUCGCAUGCAAGAGGUCGGCGGUUCGAUCCCGCUCACCUCCA